GAUGAACGCUGACAGAAUGCUUAACACAUGCAAGUCGAUGAGAAGACUCCCUUCGGGGAGAGGGUAUCAUGGCGGACGGGUGAGUAACGCGUAAAGAACUUGCCGUAUGGACAGGGAUAGCCGAUGGAAACGACGGAUAAGACCUGAUAUAAUGGAAUUGUGCAUCACGAUUUUAUGAAAAGCAAUACCAUACGAGAGCUUUGCGUCCUAUUAGCUAGUUGGUAGUGUAAUGGACUACCAAGGCGAUGAUAGGUAGCCGGCCUGAGAGGGUGGACGGCCACAAGGGGACUGGGAUACGGCCCUUACUCUUACGGGAGGCAGCAGUGGGGAAUAUUGGACAAUGGAGGUAACUCUGAUCCAGCAAUUCUGUGUGCACGAAGAAGGUUUUCGGAUUGUAAAGUGCUUUAAGUUGGGAAGAAAAAAAUGACGGUACCAACAGAAUAAGCGACGGCUAAAUACGUGCCAGCCGCCGCGGUAA
rnacentral:rRNA from 1 species